UGUUUCGGCAAGGGGGUCAUCCCGACUUACCAACCCGAUGCAAACUGCGAAUACCGGAGAAUGUUAUCACGGGAGACACACGGCGGGUGCUAACGUCCGUCGUGAAGAGGGAAACAACCCAGACCGCCAGCUAAGGUCCCAAAGUCAUGGUUAAGUGGGAAACGAUGUGGGAAGGCCCAGACAGCCAGGAUGUUGGCUUAGAAGCAGCCAUCAUUUAAAGAAAGCGUAAUAGCUCACUGGUCGAGUCGGCCUGCGCGGAAGAUGUAACGGGGCUAAACCAUGCACCGAAGCUGCGGCAGCGACACUAUGUGUUGUUGGGUAGGGGAGCGUUCUGUAAGCCUGCGAAGGUGUACUGUGAGGUAUGCUGGAGGUAUCAGAAGUGCGAAUGCUGACAUAAGUAACGAUAAAGCGGGUGAAAAGCCCGCUCGCCGGAAGACCAAGGGUUCCUGUCCAACGUUAAUCGGGGCAGGGUGAGUCGACCCCUAAGGCGAGGCCGAAAGGCGUAGUCGAUGGGAAACAGGUUAAUAUUCCUGUACUUGGUGUUACUGCGAAGGGGGGACGGAGAAGGCUAUGUUGGCCGGGCGACGGUUGUCCCGGUUUAAGCGUGUAGGCUGGUUUUC
rnacentral:rRNA from 1 species